GCCACUACCUGGGUUUGGCAGGAUGUUGGGGAGUGACUAGAGGCACAUCUGACAGGUGUAGGGGGCCAAAGGAUGUGUGCUCCCAGCUCUGACUCCUCUAUGAGCAUUGUACAUCUGGGGUAAUCGAACACUGACACCCACCCACCACCCAGAACUCAGUAAAGCCAGUACGUCCAUAAAAGAUCUCACACAAAGGACCCUGUGCGCAGGAGCUCAGAGACCUGCAUCUUAGGCUCCUGCUGGCUGCUUCCAAUUCGGCCUUAGAUUUAAACUAAAAUUCAGUGAUUUACUGACAGUUUUCAUUCUAAGAUUCAGUCCCAAAAUGUUUUGAGAUGAGGGCAAAGCUUAGAUGGCUUGUGGAUUGUUUUCCUUUAUGAUAGUGAUUGGUGCAGUAGGGUGAAGGCAUUUCCAGUAGGGAUGGAGAGCUCUGCCUGUAAUGGGGCAGCCCUCCGGGCACAGCAGCUGUCUGCCCCAGGGCAGAGCCUGGGCUCUUCAGGCAGUGACACCUUCCUCCACCUUGCGGGGAGCCCUGCAGCUGCUCAAAUAUGCUUGCUGUGUGCCUUAAAGGGAGUGGGUUGGCCUAUUUACCCACUUGGCCCGGGUUGGCCAACACCUGAAGGAUAGGUGCCAUUCCUGAGCAAGGACCCUACGUGAAGCUGAGGCACUCAUGGGAAUAGGCCUGUUGGGGACCACAAACCCACAGUGGCUAGUUUUACACACUUCUCUAAGGAAUAAAAGGAGGCUUGAGUUAUCGGUAUCACCCUUUCCAAAUCAUCAGAUUCUGCAUCUUCCAGGUGAGAUUUCCCAUUAUCUGAUUAGGGGUGGGCCAUCUUCUCCCACCUACUAAGACUAAAACCACUGACUAAAGAGGCUCCAUGGCAAGAUCCUUCUUAGCAUAAGACCACCUCCACCCUGAGUCAUCCAAUAAUACCCUCAAUCAGGGAUCACUGAAUUGGCCUUUUGUUCCUAGUGAACAACUGGUCAGCCCAGAUCCCCAAUGUAUUGCCAUCUGUCUCUUAACUUUCUCUCUUUCCAUGACACCUAGCAGGGGACUGAGGUUCACUGCAGGUGUGAAAUGUGGCCUGAACCCUAGUGUUCUCACCUGCCUGUUAGCUUUACCAGGACUCUUGUGACAGCCUUCAGAGCUGCGCUAUGAUUCCAGAGACACCUGGUGCAGAGCUGAGGAAGUAUGAACUGUGAGUUUGUGGUCCCCAGUACGGGCCGGUCCUGGAACCCUCACUACAUCUGCACGAGCCCCAGGAGCUGCAAAUGUUGCCUCGGCUUACCUGAGACCAAAUGCACGAUGGCAGCUGGAAGCAGAAGGCAAGCAAUCAAGCCCACACCCUUCCUUCCUCCACCCCAGGGAACCAGAUGCAAACCAACAUCUGAGUGGUCUCUCACAAGACAAUGCAAAAGUAAGACAGUAUCCUGACAAGACAUGAAACCCUUCACAUAACGGGGAAGGUAAGACAACCACUUCUCAGUGGUGUGAAGAAAGCUUUCAACACAAGGCAGCUCAGACUGUCAUUCUAGAAUUCCAGUGGUGAGGAGUCCCACUCCAAACCCUUCAAAGAGGAGGAUCUCCUUUGAACAGACCGUGGAUGGAGGAUGAGUUAUCAGAGUUCUAAGAAAACAACCUGAACUAGCACUAAAGUGCGAUAGCACCAUAAGAUGUACUUGCUGCCCAUAAACAGCCACCUUAUCACAACACAGCAUCACUUCAAAUCACUAGACAAACAUUAGAAAAAUGAGAAGUGAAUCAGACAGUGAGAUAUGGAUGUCAGCACAAAAACCAAUGUGAACUGUUAUGAUCAGUAACCUAAGAGAAACCUCCCAGAUUAAUUCUGCAUGCCAUGGCCCUGGGAAGUAAAUGUGCACUGAGUUCCUGACCUGCUUGUUAAAAGAUUUUAGAAUGUUGAUUGGGGGGGGGUGUUAAAAUAUUAGCAUGGUGGUGCAUGCCUCUAAUUCCAGCACUUGGGAGGCUGAGGCAGGAGGAUCUUUAUGAGCUUGAGACUAGCCUGGGUUACAAAGUGAGCUCAAGGCCAGCCUGAACUACAUAAUGAGACCCUGUCUCAAUAAGACAAUAAAAGAGAACGUUAAAGUACCAAGACUUACAACUUCCAAAAUAGGUGACGAACAGGUGAAAUGAAGAAAAGUCGGCCAGAUGUGGUGUUGCAUGCCUUUAAUCUCAACACUUGGGACGCCACGGCAGGAGCACUGCUGUGAGUUCCAGGCCAGUCUGAACUGCAUGGUGAGAGCCUGUCUCAAAAAAGUAAAAAACUGAGAAAUAUAAAAGCCUGAAACAUGGUCAAUAAAGAACAUGCUAUGAGUGGUGGGAAUAAAAUCAGACACUUGAGUAAUCAGAGAAAUGUGAUUGAAUUAAUUUAUUUGUAAACAAUCACUUGCAUUUAAGAUUGGAAUCACAAUAUUAUUAAAUACUUUUAUAAGACAUA